ACAAAAAGCCUUAAAUGCGCAACUUGAUAGAAAAAGAAAAAAAAGGGGGGGGAACAACACAGUUUCAUAUUCCUGAAAUUUUCUACCCAGAUAACAGGGAAUUGCUUCCUUUUGUAACGGCAUUUAGAAAAGAAUGUCUAUUAUCAUCAGAUUACCCUGUGCUCCCAAGCACUGCGCAUCGGUGAUAAGAAGAUGCUUCAGUUUUACCAACAUGCAGCUGUUUGCUUCCUUGGACAAUCACUGGAACAACUUUAUUCACUUCCUAAUUAACCCAUGUUUCUGAAAGGAAUUGGUGAUAUCCUCAACUAUAAACAACCUCUGAAAAUAUUCCUUUUGUAGGUCAGAGUGAUGGUAAAGACCAGUCAGUGGCAGAAUUAUAGAAAGGCUUGGAUUGGAAGCUCCAACCCCCUGCCAAACACAGGACCACCAACCUCCACAUUUAAUACCAGACCAGGCUGCCCAUCCCCAUCCAACGUGGCCUUGAACACCUCCAGGGAUGGGGUAUCCACAACCAGAAGCUGUCUGAGCACCUGCUGGUUUCACAGAGCUACAGAAUUCACAGCAAGCUUGGUCCAAGCUAGUAGGAACAGCACACAAAGUGAAGAAGUGCUCCAAAGCGCACAGUCCUGAUGCAGCAUUGCCCUGGGAGAUGCUGUGCCAAUGCAUCCUUGCCUCCUGCCUGUGCUGUCUUCAGUUUCCUUCUAAAUGCAGAU
rnacentral:lncRNA from 1 species